AGAACGCUGGGCAAAGCCAAAUUUGACCUUUACUUACUGCACUUGAUUCCUCGUAACGCUGACAACAUUUGGCCUCUUGGGUCAACUGGCAUGCAAGAGCUUCUAAAGACCAAAAUUUUGUUCUCUGCCAAAGUUUUGUUCAUUAGACUAAAAGAUCACUUGAAACUUCAUCACGCGACUGUGCGCUACAAGUUGAAUUAGAAUUGUAUCUUAGUCUUUUUCUUCUGUGAAGUUGUCUUUAAAGCAAAAUCUAGUCACCGAAAUGUCUUUAGGAAAUGAUUCUUUCAACCGCAGCCUCCUCCACUUUGUCGAAGCUGAUGAUUCCACAUCCAGCAGUUUAUACAAUGCUUCUUUCUGCCCAGAUUGUGAGACAUCAGCGCCCAAUCACUUCCUGGACCAGAUGUACCUACUUACGUUCGGAAUAAUGAUAGUGUUCAUGGACCUGGGAUUCGGACUCGUAGAAGCUGGCAGUGUUAGAAGCAAAAAUACAACCCACAUACUUAUCAAAAAUAUUCUGGACACG
rnacentral:sRNA from 1 species